GUAGGGAAUAUUGGACAAUGGGCGAAAGCCUGAUCCAGUCAUGCCGCGUGAUAGAUGAAGGCCCUCUGGGUUGUAAAUAUCUUUUAUCUGGGAAGAAACUCCUCUAUCCUUAGAGGCCUGACGGUACCAGAGGAAUAAGCACCGGCUAACUCCGUGCCAGCAGCCGCGGUAAUACGGAGGGUGCAAGCGUUAUCCGGAUUCACUGGGUUUAAAGGGUGCGUAGGCGGGUUGAUAAGUCAGUGGUGAAAGCUCCGGGCUUAACUUGGAAACUGCCAUUGAUACUGUCAGUCUUGAAUGUCGUAGAGGUAAGCGGAAUGUUGCAUGUAGCGGUGAAAUGCUUAGAUAUGUUACAGAACACCAAUUGCGAAGGCAGCUUACUAUGCGAUAAUUGACGCUGAGGCACGAAAGCGUGGGGAGCAAACAGGAUUAGAAACCCGGGUAGUCC
rnacentral:rRNA from 1 species